rnacentral:rRNA from 1 species
GAUAAACGCUGGCGGCGUGCCUAAUACAUGCAAGUCGAGCGAACGGACGAGAAGCUUGCUUCUCUGAUGUUAGCGGCGGACGGGUGAGUAACACGUGGAUAACCUACCUAUAAGACUGGGAUAACUUCGGGAAACCGGAGCUAAUACCGGAUAAUAUUUUGAACCGCAUGGUUCAAAAGUGAAAGACGGUCUUGCUGUCACUUAUAGAUGGAUCCGCGCUGCAUUAGCUAGUUGGUAAGGUAACGGCUUACCAAGGCAACGAUGCAUAGCCGACCUGAGAGGGUGAUCGGCCACACUGGAACUGAGACACGGUCCAGACUCCUACGGGAGGCAGCAGUAGGGAAUCUUCCGCAAUGGGCGAAAGCCUGACGGAGCAACGCCGCGUGAGUGAUGAAGGUCUUCGGAUCGUAAAACUCUGUUAUUAGGGAAGAACAUAUGUGUAAGUAACUGUGCACAUCUUGACGGUACCCUAAUCAGAAAGCCACCGGCUAACUACGUGCCAGCCAGCGCGGGUAUACGUAAGUGGCCAGCGUUAUCCCGAAAUUAUUGGGCGUAAAGCGCGGCGUAGCCGGUUUUUUAGUCUGAUGUGAAAGCCCACGGCUCAACCGUGGAGGGUCAUUGGAAACUGGAAAACUUGAGUGCAGAAGAGGAAAGUGGAAUUCCAUGUGUAGCGGUGAAAUGCGCAGAGAUAUGGAGGAACACCAGUGGCGAAGGCGACUUUCUGGUCUGUAACUGACGCUGAUGUGCGAAAGCGUGGGGAUCAAACAGGAUUAGAUACCCUGGUAGUCCACGCCGUAAACGAUGAGUGCUAAGUGUUAGGGGGUUUCCGCCCCUUAGUGCUGCAGCUAACGCAUUAAGCACUCCGCCUGGGGAGUACGACCGCAAGGUUGAAACUCAAAGGAAUUGACGGGGACCCGCACAAGCGGUGGAGCAUGUGGUUUAAUUCGAAGCAACGCGAAGAACCUUACCAAAUCUUGACAUCCUUUGACAACUCUAGAGAUAGAGCCUUCCCCUUCGGGGGACAAAGUGACAGGUGGUGCAUGGUUGUCGUCAGCUCGUGUCGUGAGAUGUUGGGUUAAGUCCCGCAACGAGCGCAACCCUUAAGCUUAGUUGCCGUCAUUAAGUUGGGCACUCUAAGUUGACUGCCGGUGACAAACCGGAGGAAGGUGGGGAUGACGUCAAAUCAUCAUGCCCCUUAUGAUUUGGGCUACACACGUGCUACAAUGGACAAUACAAAGGGCAGCGAAACCGCGAGGUCAAGCAAAUCCCAUAAAGUUGUUCUCAGUUCGGAUUGUAGUCUGCAACUCGACUACAUGAAGCUGGAAUCGCUAGUAAUCGUAGAUCAGCAUGCUACGGUGAAUACGUUCCCGGGUCU